GUACACGCUGUGACUAGCAUAUCAAUAAGCGGAGGAAAAGAAACUAACAAGGAUUCCCCUAGUAACGGCGAGUGAAGCGGGAAGAGCUCAAAUUUGAAAUCUUAAAGGGUUUCCCUUUACGAAUUGUAGUUUAAAGAAGUGUUUUCUGUUGAGGUUUUGGUAAAAGUUCUUUGGAAUAGGACAUCAUAGAGGGUGAGAAUCCCGUAUUUGACCUUUACUUUCAACUUUGUGAUACACUUUCAAAGAGUCGGAUUGUUUGGGAAUGCAGUCCAAAAUGGGUGGUAAAUUUCAUCUAAAGCUAAAUAUUGGCGAGAGACCGAUAGCGAACAAGUACUGUGAGGGAAAGAUGAAAAGAACUUUGAAAAGAGAGUUAAACAGUACGUGAAAUUGUCAAAAGGGAAGCGUUUGACACCAGUGUUGUUUUUCUGAAAAUCAAUUAAAGAACUGUUUAUGCUAAGUUGUUUAGACUUUAUCAGCUAUCUGUUUAGUUUUGAGCUUUUCUUUAAUGCACUUUUCAGUUAACAAGUCAACAUCAAUUUCUUUUGCUGUAAAAAAGCUUGAGGAAGGUGGCUUGAGAUUCGUCUUAAGUGUUUAUAGCCUCUUGCCUAUGCAGUCGGAGAGAUUGAGGUCUGCAGCGUAGAUCCUUCGGGGCUAAAUGCAUUUGUGCUAAGUUAUAGCAUUUUAUAGACAACUUGUUGACUAUGAUUUGUCUUGUAGCUUACUCGCUUAUGUUAUUUUACCUACGCUUAGGAUGUUGAUAUGCAUGACUGAUAU
rnacentral:rRNA from 1 species